rnacentral:lncRNA from 1 species
GCCCAUAACUUACAGUGUAUCCCAAAUAAUUUAAUACCCUUGUUAUAAUUUUCUAGUGUGUAUGACCUGAAUUACUUGUAUAACGACUUAAUACGUUUACCGUAUGCACUAAAUUGGAUCAUGUAGAAUUGGUUAAGUACAUUAGACUUCCAAUGACCCUUUCAUACUCCACUUCGACACUGACUCGCCUACAUUUUUAGUUAAUUGAUGUUGAGUCUCUACUGGCGUUUUUUUUUUUUUUGAAAUUUUAUUUGAGUAGUUUUAGGCUUAUAAUUUCU